GUGCUGGCAUUGUUGGUUUCUCCCUUCUGACGAACCAUGAUGUCAUUUAUUUGGUGUUGUGGGGAAUCAGGACUGUUACUUUGAAAAAAUUAGAGUGUUUAAAGCAAGCUCACGCUUGAAUACAUUAGCAUGGAAUAAUGAAAUAGGACGUUUGAUUCUAUUUUGUUGGUUUCUAGGAUCGACGUAAUGAUUAAUAGGGAUAGUUGGGGGCAUUAGUAUUCAAUUGUCAGAGGUGAAAUUCUUGGAUUUAUUGAAGACUAACUACUGCGAAAGCAUUUGCCAAGGAUGUUUUCAUUAAUCAAGAACGAAAGUUAGGGGAUCGAAGACGAUCAGAUACCGUCGUAGUCUUAACCAUAAACUAUGCCGACUAGGGAUCGGAUGAUGUUAAUUUUUUAAUGACUCAUUCGGCGCCUUACG
rnacentral:rRNA from 1 species